rnacentral:rRNA from 1 species
UGAGUACGAGAUGCUACGGCAUCGAAGCAGUCUAUGUCAUACUUCCAAGAAAAGCUUGCAAUGUCAUAAACAAAUAAUGCCUGUACCAUAACCGACACAGGUGGGUAGGUAGAGUAUACUAAGGGGCGCGAGAUAACUCUCUCUAAGGAACUCGGCAAAAUGACUCCGUAACUUCGGGAGAAGGAGUGCCUUAUUUUUAUAAGGUUGCAAUGACAAGAUCCAAGCAACUGUUUACCAAAAACACAGGUCUCCGCUAAGUCGUAAGACGAUGUAUGGGGGCUGACGCCUGCCCAGUGCCAGAAGGUUAAAGAAGUUGGUUAGCAUUAGCGAAGCUGAUAACUGAAGCCCUGGUGAACGGCGGCCGUAACUAUAACGGUCCUAAGGUAGCGAAAUUCCUUGUCGGGUAAGUUCCGACCCGCACGAAAGGCGUAAUGAUUUGGAUACUGUCUCGGAGAGGGGCUCGGUGAAAUAGACUUGUCUGUGAAGAUGCGGACUACCUGCACCUGGACAGAAAGACCCUAUGAAGCUUUACUGUAACUUGAGAUUGAAAUUGGACUUUAUCUGCGCAGUAUAGGUGGGAGACGUUGAAAAUAUUCUUGCGGGAAUAUUGGAGUCAUCAGUGAGAUACCACUCUUAUGAUGUUAGAUUUCUAACUUUGUAUCAUUAUCUGGUCAAAGAACAGUUUCAGGCGGGCAGUUUGACUGGGGCGGUCGCCUCCCAAACGGUAACGGAGGCGCACAAAGGUUUCCUCUGAACGUGUAGAAAUCGUAUCUAGAGUGUAAAGGCAUAAGGAAGCUUGACUGUGAGACCUACAAGUCGAGCAGGGACGAAAGUCGGUCUUAGUGAUCUGGCGGUGCUGAGUGGAAAGGCCGUCACUCAACGGAUAAAAGUUACUCUAGGAUAACAGGCUGAUCUCCCCCAAGAGUUCACAUCGACGGGGAGGUUUGGCACCUCGAUGUCGGCUCAUCGCAUCCUGGGGCGGUAGUACGUCCCAAGGGUUGGGCUGUUCGCCCAUGAAAGCGGUACGCGAGCUGGGUUCAGAACGUCGUGAGACAGUUCGGUCCAUAUCCGGUGUAGGCGUUAGAAUAUUGAGAGGAGCCUUCUUUAGUACGAGAGGACCGAGAAGGACAUACCUCUGGUGUACCAGUUAUCGUGCCAACGGUAAACGCUGGGUAGCCAUGUAUGGAGAGGAUAACCGCUGAAAGCAUCUAAGUGGGAAGCCCACCUCAAGAUAAGUAUUCCC